UACGAAGGGGGCAAGCGUUGUUCGGAAUUACUGGGCGUAAAGCGCACGUAGGCGGAUUUGUUAGUCAGGGGUGAAAUCCCGGGGCUCAACCUCGGAACUGCCUUUGAUACUGCAAGUCUUGAGUCCGGAAGAGGUGAGUGGAAUUCCUAGUGUAGAGGUGAAAUUCGUAGAUAUUAGGAGGAACACCAGUGGCGAAGGCGGCUCACUGGUCUGGUACUGACGCUGAGGUGCGAAAGCGUGGGGCGCAUACAGG
rnacentral:rRNA from 1 species